UACGUAGGGUGCGAGCGUUAAUCGGAGUUACUGGGCGUAAAGCGUGCGCAGGCGGCGCGUUAAGACAGGUGUGAAAGCCCCGAGCUUAACUUGGGAAUUGCGCUUGUGACUGGCGUGCUGGAGUGUGGCAGAGGGAGGUGGAAUUCCACGUGUAGCAGUGAAAUGCGUAGAGAUGUGGAGGAACACCGAUGGCGAAGGCAGCCUCCUGGGCCAGCACUGACGCUCAUGCACGAAAGCGUGGGGAGCAAACAGG
rnacentral:rRNA from 1 species